rnacentral:rRNA from 1 species
AUGAACGCUAGCUACAGGCUUAACACAUGCAAGUCGAGGGGCAUCAGGAAGAAAGCUUGCUUUCUUUGCUGGCGACCGGCGCACGGGUGAGUAACACGUAUCCAACCUGCCCUUUACUCGGGGAUAGCCUUUCGAAAGAAAGAUUAAUACCCGAUGGCAUAAUGAUUCCGCAUGGUUUCAUUAUUAAAGGAUUCCGGUAAAGGAUGGGGAUGCGUUCCAUUAGGUUGUUGGUGAGGUAACGGCUCACCAAGCCUUCGAUGGAUAGGGGUUCUGAGAGGAAGGUCCCCCACAUUGGAACUGAGACACGGUCCAAACUCCUACGGGAGGCAGCAGUGAGGAAUAUUGGUCAAUGGGCGCUAGCCUGAACCAGCCAAGUAGCGUGAAGGAUGAAGGCUCUAUGGGUCGUAAACUUCUUUUAUAUAAGAAUAAAGUGCAGUAUGUAUACUGUUUUGUAUGUAUUAUAUGAGUAAGGAUCGGCUAACUCCGUGCCAGCAGCCGCGGUAAUACGGAGGAUCCGAGCGUUAUCCGGAUUUAUUGGGUUUAAAGGGAGCGUAGGUGGACUGGUAAGUCAGUUGUGAAAGUUUGCGGCUCAACCGUAAAAUUGCAGUUGAUACUGUCAGUCUUGAGUACAGUAGAGGUGGGCGGAAUUCGUGGUGUAGCGGUGAAAUGCUUAGAUAUCACGAAGAACUCCGAUUGCGAAGGCAGCUCACUGGACUGCAACUGACACUGAUGCUCGAAAGUGUGGGUAUCAAACAGGAUUAGAUACCCUGGUAGUCCACACAGUAAACGAUGAAUACUCGCUGUUUGCGAUAUACAGUAAGCGGCCAAGCGAAAGCAUUAAGUAUUCCACCUGGGGAGUACGCCGGCAACGGUGAAACUCAAAGGAAUUGACGGGGGCCCGCACAAGCGGAGGAACAUGUGGUUUAAUUCGAUGAUACGCGAGGAACCUUACCCGGGCUUAAAUUGCAGUGGAAUGAUGUGGAAACAUGUCAGUGAGCAAUCACCGCUGUGAAGGUGCUGCAUGGUUGUCGUCAGCUCGUGCCGUGAGGUGUCGGCUUAAGUGCCAUAACGAGCGCAACCCUUAUCUUUAGUUACUAACAGGUCAUGCUGAGGACUCUAGAGAGACUGCCGUCGUAAGAUGUGAGGAAGGUGGGGAUGACGUCAAAUCAGCACGGCCCUUACGUCCGGGGCUACACACGUGUUACAAUGGGGGGUACAGAAGGCAGCUAGCGGGUGACCGUAUGCUAAUCCCAAAAUCCUCUCUCAGUUCGGAUCGAAGUCUGCAACCCGACUUCGUGAAGCUGGAUUCGCUAGUAAUCGCGCAUCAGCCACGGCGCGGUGAAUACGUUCCCGGGCCUUGUACACACCGCCCGUCAAGCCAUGGGAGCCGGGGGUACCUGAAGUACGUAACCGCAAGGAUCGUCCUAGGGUAAAACUGGUGACUGGGGCU